GUGUGUGUGUGUUUAGGUGGAACUACAACAAUACUUACUCAAAUGUGCAUCAAAGAACAAACUAUGCUGAUGCUUGUAAAACAUAAAUGAGUCAUUUCUUGCACUGUGGCAUUGCUAUCCAUAUCGAAUGUGUGCAAACAAAAGCUUCGUUGAUGCAGUUUAAAAUGUAAUGCUUUAAUGUAGUGAAUCUGUCUAAUAAAUUUCCUAUACAUAGUCUCCUUAGAGAAUGACUGUAUGUCAAGGCAUUCAAGUACAAAUUCACCACAGUCUUACUUAUAGCAUUGUUGCUUGUUUGGAAUGCAGUGGUUCAGUUGGCUAGAAGCUGAACAUUGGAUGUCUGUUCACUAAGAGUAUGAAAAUAAAAUGGUUCUCUAACGUUAUUAAGUGCCUGUGUUAUUUCAGUGGUAAAGUCAAAAAAAGGCUUUGAGUAGCUGUCAUAAAUCUUUCUAGUAAUAAAGAUUUAGUGGCUACAA
rnacentral:lncRNA from 1 species